AGCAGCCGCGGUAAUUCCAGCUCCAAUAGCGUAUAUUAAAGUUGCUGCAGUUAAAAAGCUCGUAGUUGAAUUUCGGGACCAUCAUGUCGGUCGUGCCUCGGUACGUACUGGCAUUGUUGGUUUCUCCCUUCUGACGAACCAUGAUGUCAUUUAUUUGGUGUUGUGGGGAAUCAGGACUGUUACUUUGAAAAAAUUAGAGUGUUUAAAGCAGGCUAACGCUUGAAUACAUUAGCAUGGAAUAAUGAAAUAGGACGUUCGAUCCUAUUUUGUUGGUUUCUAGGAUUGACGUAAUGAUUAAUAGGGAUAGUUGGGGGCAUUAGUAUUCAAUUGUCAGAGGUGAAAUUCUUGGAUUUAUUGAAGACUAACUACUGCGAAAGCAUUUGCCAAGGAUGUUUUCAUUAAUCAAGAACGAAAGUUAGGGGAUCGAAGACGAUCAGAUACCGUCGUAGUCUUAACCAUAAACUAUGCCGACUAGGGAUCGGAUGAUGUUAAUUUUUAAUGAC
rnacentral:rRNA from 1 species